rnacentral:lncRNA from 1 species
UACGAAUAUCCAUCAAGAUCAAUCUCGAACUGAUUUCUCUACGUAGAAGACUCUUCUUUUUAAGAAGAAUCUGAACCUUGAACACUUUGAUCAACACCUUGAUCUAAACUGCGGGUUCAACUCCUUGAUCAGCAGUCUUCUUUUUCUUCUCCUUGAUCUUCACUUUUGAAGUCACAAAGCACUACAUCUUGGCAUGUAAAAAGAGGAUGCCCAACUCUUAGGCAUGGAAGAGAAGAGAGGGAGCAGAGGAGGCAUAGAGAAAGGAGAGAGAGAGAUUUUUCACCAAAAAUAAUAAGCUAAAAACCUUAGAGACAUGCCCUUUAUAUAGUCACUACCUUGAUACAUAAUAGGAACCCAAUUAUCUUAAAAAGAUAGAUCCUUACCUCAUAAGAAUCUUCUAUCUUUUUAAUCUGAUUUAUUCUAAUUAAAAUCAGAUAUAAAUGGUAUAUGAUCAGCCCCUUUAAGUAGGUACAAAAGGCGCCCAUCUAAAAUAUCCACAAAGAGAUUUCUUGCCAAAUAAGAGAGGGGCGUGGCCCCACUCUCUCUCCCCCACACCAUGCCACAUAAGAGGGGGUGGGCUCCUCUAGGAUUUGGCACCCAAUUCCUACCAAA